rnacentral:rRNA from 1 species
UACGUAGGGUGCGAGCGUUGUCCGGAAUUAUUGGGCGUAAAGAGCUCGUAGGCGGUUUGUCACGUCUGCUGUGAAAACUGGAGGCUCAACCUCCAGCCUGCAGUGGGUACGGGCAGACUAGAGUGCGGUAGGGGAGAUUGGAAUUCCUGGUGUAGCGGUGGAAUGCGCAGAUAUCAGGAGGAACACCGAUGGCGAAGGCAGAUCUCUGGGCCGAUACUGACGCUGAGGAGCGAAAGCGUGGGGAGCGAACAGG